UUGCCCAACAGAAUUUACAUGAGAAGCUCUGAAGUAUCAUCGAGAAGUUUCACGACUGAGCGAUAUCUAUUCUUUCUAUGGUGAUCUUCUCCACGUGCUGAGCAACGAGGAUCACUACAGGCUUGCUUUUGGGCAAAUUAACACAGCAAGGAAACGUAUUAGAAAGGUUGCUAAAUGCAAUGUUCAGCUGUUGGAAGUAUUGUGACUCACUCUACCGAUGCAAGUUUUCUAAAGGCCGCUGCUCUUGGAGAAUGUAUACUGUGAUUAAGCGGCUUAGUCUUAGUUUGGCUUAUCUAGAACAGAUUAGAGGGUGCCUUCAGUAGAUCCAAAUACUCGGACUAUCCUGAUUUGUGGGUACCCAAAUGUUGGGAAGAGCUCUUUUAUGAAUAAGAUCACAAGGGCUGAUUUUGAUGUGCAGCCUUAUACUUUCACUUCUUGGUUUGGUUUAUCUAGAACGGAUGAUGGUGGAGGGACUAUGGAUGUGGACUUAGACCAGUGCAAAAAGAAGUUGGAACGAGGUUCUGGUCAAGGUUCUUUACUAUACCUCUGGAAAGUGGAAAGGGUGCUGGAUUUAGUUAUGCCGGUACCGGCUCUCAAGGAUUCCGGUUAAAGGGAAACGCUUUUUAAAGCUUGCGAAGAAGUGUGUGAAAAAGAGAAACAAUGAUGCUUGUCGGGGAAAGGCAGAGUUAUUCCUUCCCUCAAACCAGAACACUUCUUCUCCGGCAAAUGCUCAAUUGGAAAGAUCCAAAAAUGAUAAAAGUUUUAGCAAAAUGCAAUAAGGAUCUUUCAGGGAGAGAUUCUCAAGGUCUUCUCUUGGGAAGCGCUUGGCGUCUGUUGUCAGCUGCUUCGUCGGAAUGGAUGUUCUUCUGGGUUCUUCAGGUUACUUGGUAAAGAGUUUCAGGGUAGUGGAUUCCCCACCAUGGGAUUGGUCUUCAUUUAUCGUCAUCACUUUUUAUGUGCUUCUUGAGGAUCUCUUCAGUUCAAUUCCUCUCUCGUCCUGUCCAGUAGUGUCCUGAUCGGAAUCCGAUCAUACUCAUUAUGGUUUCCCAUCUAUGGUGAACAAGGAACUUGGGGAUGGUUUUUCGGGCAUCGUCUGCAUGGUCCAUGAGCUACAAACUAAUGCAGGGUCAUUGCUGGCCAUGACAUUCAAUCACUUGCUUUCUGAUGUCCCUCAGAGUUGCAAUCUUCCAUUCCUGAGAAGGGUCAAAGUGGAGAAGCUUUUUGAAAACGGAUAAGAGCUUCUUGCAUGUUGCCCAUUUUAGAUGCUGUUUUAGUGCGUUUUCAAGUAGAUAUAUUAUAAGGGUCAAUAUCAUUGGUGGUCUUGGUCUAUGUACUUUUGCCUGGAUAUUGAAACAGUAACCCCACUUUGUUUUUUCUUU